rnacentral:rRNA from 1 species
UACGUAGGGAGCAAGCGUUGUUCGGAUUUACUGGGCGUAAAGGGCGCGUAGGCGGCCUGUCAAGUCAUCUGUGAAAUCUCCGGGCUUAACUCGGAACGGUCAGAUGAUACUGUCAGGCUAGAGUGCAGAAAGGGCAAUCGGAAUUCUUGGUGUAGCGGUGAAAUGCGUAGAUAUCAAGAGGAACACCUGAGGCGAAGGCGGGUUGCUAGGCUGACACUGACGCUGAGGCGCGAAAGCCAGGGGAGCAAACGGG